UCGGGAAUCUUGGACAAUGGGCGCAAGCCUGAUCCAGCCAUGCCGCGUGGAUGAUGAAGGCCUUAGGGUUGUAAAAUCCUUUCGUGGGGGACGAUAAUGACGGUACCCCAAGAAGAAGCUCCGGCUAACUUCGUGCCAGCAGCCGCGGUAAUACGAAGGGGGCUAGCGUUGUUCGGAUUUACUGGGCGUAAAGCGCGUGUAGGCGGGUCGUUAAGUUGGGGGUGAAAUCCCGAGGCUCAACCUCGGAACUGCCUUCAAAACUGGCGACCUGGACCCAAGUAGAGGCAAGUGGAAUUGCGAGUGUAGAGGUGAAAUUCGUAGAUAUUCGCAGGAACACCAGUGGCGAAGGCGACUUGCUGGACUUGUGGUGACGCUGAGACGCGAAAGCGUGGGGAGCAAACAGGAUUAGAUACCCCGGUAGUCCCUGAGCGGGCUGGCAAGGCGCAU
rnacentral:rRNA from 1 species